UCAUCUCUUCAAUGAUUUCGACUAUUUCCUUCUUCAGUUUUCUGGUCUGGACUCUGGAAUGAGCAUUUCAUCUUUAGAUGCGGCAGUUGAAGAGUGGGUUUUUUAAAUUAGAACCCAGGAUUAUCGUUCAUUUUCGUGGUUGAUUUCUCUAACUCGAAAAUCAGGAACAAUAUCGAGGAUGGUCAAGAACAUAAGAACUUAUGUGACGGAAGAGAAGAGAGCUAAGGCAUCUGCUACUGCAAAGACAAUGAAUGAAUUGAUGUUCAGAAGUAUGGGAAGACCAUUGACGGUGUUUCUCUUAGCAUCAUUGUAGUUACCACCGGGUACAGUAAAAGCUGCAGCAAAUGCUACUGUGGAGAUGAGGGUUGCUGCUAGCAUACAUGAAUGUGAGGAGAGGAAACUUAAAUGAGUACAGCAGGAUGAUGGGAGUAGGAGAAACGAAUGGAGAUUGAAGAAUAUAAAGAACAGAAGAGAACAAUAUUAUAAGAUUCCAAACUCCACUAAGAUAGCAAAUUGGAGUCUAAAGGGUAGUCGAGAGAAUGAGAAGCCAAAAAGUAAAGAUGCAGUACAAUCCACUGAGAUCUCUUGGAGCAAUACGCGAAGCCUGUUCAGAAGGUCAUCUUUUCUGGAUGAAGCAGGGGAGGGUAGUUGGAGUCAUCUGAAAAAGUCUACAAGGUUUAUCUGGAUACCUAUUUUUGAAAGAACAGGAAACCCAGUCCCAGAUAUGGAUUAUAAUUUUUGAACAUUUAAACUUUGAAGAACUCCCUAUAUGUGCUUAUGUUGGUCUUGUCCAAAAAAUAGUAGUUUGUCAAAUUCAUGCCUACUUGGAGGCAGUGAUUAAAGCUGUAAAACUGCUCAAGCAAACUUACUGAUAAAGCAGCUGCCCAGUCGAGAAGGGAAAAAGUUUUGCUCUAGCGCUGCUAGAUCAUUUAUGAUCUAGCAGCACCAGUGUCUAGCACUUGGCAUCUUAUGAUGUCAGCAAACCACUUUUUAAACCAUGGUUAGGUAUGCU